GAUCCUGGCUCAGGACGAACGCUGGCUGCGUGCCUAACACAUGCAAGUCGAACGGAGUAAAGCCCUUCGGGACUUUACUUAGUGGCGAACGGGUGAGUAACGCGUGAGGAACCUACCUUUCAGUGGGGGACAACAGUUGGAAACGACUGCUAAUACCGCAUGACGCUUCUUGGGGGCAUCCCUAAGAAGUCAAAGAUUUAUUGCUGAAAGAUGGCCUCGCGUCUGAUUAGCUAGUUGGCGGGGUAACGGCCCACCAAGG
rnacentral:rRNA from 1 species